ensembl:lncRNA
GUGUGUGACUUUAUAAAACUGUAACAGGACGCUACGGAGCGUGAACCUCCACAAGAUGUGGAAAAACAUGCGAGGUGUCAUGCCAGUGAACCUAGCGAUGAACUAUCCUAGCUAUCUAUAGCUUAGGGAACCAUCUUGCAGUCGCUAGUGUGUGUUAAACCACUUAAGGUUAUUUAACUAUCCUAGCUAUCUGUAGCUUAGGGAACCAUCUUGCUGUCGCUAGUGUGUGUUAAACCACUUAAGGUUAUUUAAUAGUUUCCUUAGCUAGCUAGCCAAUUAGCUUGCAUAGCAACUAGGCACCAAAGUAAAAUUUCUCAAAAUCAGUUGAGAAAGAGAAAAUCUAAAAUACAGUCUUCAAAGGGACCACUUGAGGAUGAUGUUAAAUGGCUUCACAUAGACAUUAAACAAUCCUGCGUGAAAUAAUGGGACAUCAGUGGAGCAAGGGCUUACUCUGAUACCAAUGUAGUGAAAUAUCAGUGGAGUAAGGGCUUACUCUGAUACCAAUGUAGUGAAAUAUCAGUGGAGCAAGGGCUUACUCUGAUACCAAUGUAGUGAAAUAUCAGUGGAGUAAGGGCUUACUCUGAUACCAAUGUAGUGAAAUAUCAGUGGAGUAAGGGCUUACUCUGAUACCAAUGUAGUGACUGAAUGGGG